CGGCGAUUUCCGAAUGGGGAAACCCAGUGUGACUCGUCACACUAUCAUUAACUGAAUCCAUAGGUUAAUGAGGCGAACCGGGGGAACUGAAACAUCUAAGUACCCCGAGGAAAAGAAAUCAACCGAGAUUCCCCCAGUAGCGGCGAGCGAACGGGGAGGAGCCCAGAGCCUGAAUCAGCAUGUGUGUUAGUGGAAGCGUCUGGAAAGGCGCGCGAUACAGGGUGACAGCCCCGUACACAAAAGCGCAUGUGCUGUGAGCUCGAUGAGUAGGGCGGGACACGUGGUAUCCUGUCUGAAUAUGGGGGGACCAUCCUCCAAGGCUAAAUACUCCUGACUGACCGAUAGUGAACCAGUACCGUGAGGGAAAGGCGAAAAGAACCCCGGCGAGGGGAGUGAAAAAGAACCUGAAACCGUGUACGUACAAGCAGUGGGAGCACCCUUUGGGGUGUGACUGCGUACCUUUUGUAUAAUGGGUCAGCGACUUAUAUUCUGUAGCAAGGUUAACCGAAUAGGGGAGCCGGAGGGAAACCGAGUCUUAAUUGGGCGUUAAGUUGCAGGGUAUAGACCCGAAACCCGGUGAUCUAGCCAUGGGCAGGUUGAAGGUUGGGUAACACUAACUGGAGGACCGAACCGACUAAUGUUGAAAAAUUAGCGGAUGACCUGUGGCUGGGGGUGAAAGGCCAAUCAAACCGGGAGAUAGCUGGUUCUCCCCGAAAGCUAUUUAGGUAGCGCCUCGUGAAUUCAUCUCCGGGGGUAGAGCACUGUUUCGGCUAGGGGGCCAUCCCGGCUUACCAACCCGAUGCAAACUGCGAAUACCGGAGAAUGUUAUCACGGGAGACACACGGCGGGUGCUAACGUCCGUCGUGAAGAGGGAAACAACCCAGACCGC
rnacentral:rRNA from 1 species